rnacentral:rRNA from 1 species
UUGGAGUUCGAUUAAGCCAUGCGAGUCGAGAGUCUUAGGGACUCGGCGUACCGCUCAGUAACACGUGGGUAACCUGCCCUAUGCUGGGGAAUAACCUCGGGAAACUGAGAAUAAUGCCCCAUAGUUCACUACGCCUGGAACGGUGAGUGGAUGAAAGCUCCGGCGGCAUAGGAUGGGCCUGCGGCGUAUCAGGUCGUAGGGGGUGUAACGUACCCUCUAGCCAUCGACGCGUACGGGUGUUGGGAGACAUAGCCCGGAGAUGGAUUCUGAGACACGAAUCCAGACCCUACGGGGUGCAGCAGGCGCGAAAACUUGGCAAUGCGAGAAAUCGUGACCAGGGAACUCCAAGUGGCUGGGGUAAGACCCAGUCUUUUCUUGACUCUUCAAAGGUCUUGGAAUAAGAGGUGGGUAAGGACGGUGCCAGCCGCCGCGGUAAUACCGGCGCCUCAAGUGGUAGUCGAUUUUAUUGGGCCUAAAACGUCCGUAGCCUGUUUGGUACAUUCGUGGGUAAAUCAACCAGCUCAACUGGUUGAAUUCUGCGAGCACGGCCAGACUUGGGACCGGGAGAGGUGUGGGGUACGCUCAGGGUAGGGGUAAAAUCCUGUCAUCCUGAGCGGACCACCUGUUGCGAAGGCGCCACACUAGAACGGAUCCGACGGUCAGGGACGAAGCCUAGGGGCACGAACCGGAUUAGAUACCCGGGUAGUCCUAGGUGUAAACGCUGUGGACUUGGUGUUGGGGAUUCUCCGAGGAUUCUCAGUGCCGAAGCGAAGGUGAUAAGUCCACUGCCUGGGGAGUACGGUCGCAAGGCUGAAACUUAAAGGAAUUGGCGGGGGAGCACCGCAACCUGAGGAU